UCAAACUUGGUCAUUUAGAGGAAGUAAAAGUCGUAACAAGGUAACCGUAGGUGAACCUGCGGUUGGAUCAUUAUUGAAAUAUCCAAAAACUUCUGAGGGGUGCUAAUAUUUCUUCUUUCUCUCAAGAGAUUGUGAGAAUAUUUCACCACUCAAUACCCCCAAAACCUUUGCGCCGGUUCUUCUUUGACAAUCUCGAAAGGGAAUGUCGAAUAAGGAAAGAACCGUUUGUGAACUUUUUCUUACAAGAAAGUUAUUUUCUGAUUUUGUUUGGAGUUGUUUUAUGAGUAAAAUCAUAUUGCACUCCUUUCAAAUGAAGAUUAUAGCUUUUCUUUGUAAAACUCCUAGAUAAACAUUUGUUUUCAAAAUUAAUGUUUCUUUUUCCUUUUAUAAAAAAGAGAAAACAACUUUUGACAAUGGAUCUCUAGGCUCUCGCAUCGAUGAAGAACGCAGC
rnacentral:misc_RNA from 1 species